rnacentral:rRNA from 1 species
AACGAACGCUGGCGGCAUGCCUAACACAUGCAAGUCGAACGAGACCUUCGGGUCUAGUGGCGCACGGGUGCGUAACGCGUGGGAACCUGCCCUUAGGUUCGGAAUAACUCCCCGAAAGGGGUGCUAAUACCGGAUAAUGUCUUCGGACCAAAGAUUUAUCGCCUUUGGAUGGGCCCGCGUUGGAUUAGCUAGUUGGUAGGGUAAAAGCCUACCAAGGCGACGAUCCAUAGCUGGUCUGAGAGGAUGAUCAGCCACACUGGGACUGAGACACGGCCCAGACUCCUACGGGAGGCAGCAGUAGGGAAUAUUGGACAAUGGGCGAAAGCCUGAUCCAGCAAUGCCGCGUGAGUGAUGAAGGCCUUAGGGUUGUAAAGCUCUUUUACCCGGGAUGAUAACGACAGUACCGGGAGAAUAAGCCCCGGCUAACUCCGUG